UCGGGAAUUUUGGGCAAUGGGCGAAAGCCUGAUCCAGCCAUGCCGCGUGAGUGAAGAAGGCCUUCGGGUUGUAAAGCUCUUUCAGCCGGAAAGAAAACGGACAGGAUAAUACCCUGGGGUAAUGACGGUACCUGAAGAAUAAGCACCGGCUAACUACGUGCCAGCAGCCGCGGUAAUACAGAGGGUGCAAGCGUUGUUCGGAAUUACUGGGCGUAAAGCGCGUGUAGGCGGCGUCGUGAGUCAUAUGUGAAAGCCCUCGGCUCAACCGAGGAAGUGCAUGUGAUACUGCGAUGCUUGAGUGUUGGAGGGGGUGGCGGAAUUCCCGGUGUAGAGGUGAAAUUCGUAGAUAUCGGGAGGAACACCUGUGGCGAAGGCGGCCACCUGGACAACAACUGACGCUGAGACGCGAAAGCGUGGGUAGCAAACAGGAUUAGAUACCCCUGUAGUCCCUGAGCGGGCUGGCAAGGCGCAU
rnacentral:rRNA from 1 species